GAUGAACGCUGGCGGCGUGCCUAAUACAUGCAAGUCGAGCGAACAGACGAGGAGCUUGCUCCUCUGACGUUAGCGGCGGACGGGUGAGUAACACGUGGAUAACCUACCUAUAAGACUGGGAUAACUUCGGGAAACCGGAGCUAAUACCGGAUAAUAUAUUGAACUGCAUGGUUCAAUAGUGAAAGACGGUUUUGCUGUCACUUAUAGAUGGAUCCGCGCCGCAUUAGCUAGUUGGUAAGGUAACGGCUUACCAAGGCAACGAUGCGUAGCAGACCUGAGAGGGUGACCGGCCACACUGGAACUGAGACACGGUCCAGACUCCGACGGGAGGCAGCAGUAGGGAAUAUGCCGCAAUGGGCGAAAGCCUGACGGAGCAACGCCGCGUGAGUGAUGAAGGUCUUCGGAUCGUAAAACUCUGUUAUUAGGGAAGAACAAAUGUGUAAGUAACUAUGCACGUCGUGACGGUACCUAAUCAGAAAGCCACGGCUACUACGU
rnacentral:rRNA from 1 species